rnacentral:rRNA from 1 species
UACGGAGGGAGCUAGCGUUGUUCGGAAUUACUGGGCGUAAAGCGCGCGUAGGCGGAUCUGCAAGUCGGGGGUGAAAUCCCGAGGCUCAACCUCGGAACUGCCUUCGAUACUGCGGGUCUCGAGUCCGGGAGAGGUGAGUGGAAUUCCUAGUGUAGAGGUGAAAUUCGUAGAUAUUAGGAAGAACACCAGUGGCGAAGGCGGCUCACUGGCCCGGUACUGACGCUGAGGCGCGAAAGCGUGGGGAGCAAACAGG